GACUGAGACACGGCCCAGACUCUACGGGAGGCAGCAGUAGGGAAUCUUCCGCAAUGGACGAAAGUCUGACGGAGCAACGCCCCGUGAACGAUGAAGGUCUUCGGAUCGUAAAGUUCUGUUGUUAGGGAAGAACAAGUACCGUGCGAAUAGCGGUACCUUGACGGUACCUAACGAGGAAGCCCCGGCUAACUACGUGCCAGCAGCCGCGGUAAUACGUAGGGCAAGCGUUGUCCGGAAUUAUUGGGCGUAAAGCGCGCGCAGGCGGUUCCUUAAGUCUGAUGUGAAAGCCCACGGCUCAACCGUGGAGGGUCAUUGGAAACUGGGGAACUUGAGGACAGAAGAGGAGAGUGGAAUUCCACGUGUAGCGGUGUAAUGCGUAGAUAUGUGGAGGAACACCAGUGGCGAAGGCGACUCUCUGGUCUGUUUCUGACGCUGAGGUGCGAAAGCGUGGGUAGCAAACAGGAUUAGAUACCCUGGUAGUCCACGCCGUAAACGAUGAGUGCUAGGUGUUAGGGGGCUUCCACCCCUUUGCUGAAGUUAACGCAUUAAGCACUCCGCCUGGGGAGUACGGCCGCAAGGCUGAAACUCAAAGGAAUUGACGGGGGCCCGCACAAGCGGUGGAGCAUGUGGUUUAAUU
rnacentral:rRNA from 1 species